rnacentral:lncRNA from 1 species
UGUUUUGUGAAUGCCAGUCAAGUUUGCACUGCAACUUCUCAUUUAGUUCUCUAUGUAUCUACGUACUCCUGGCUGUUUUGGACAUCAUGCUAUUUUCUCAUAUAUGACAUGAUAAUUCACAAUUCUGUAGAAGAAUUUUUCUAGAUAAUUUCAUAUAGGCCAUUUGGAUGAGCAAAAGUGUAUGAAGAUGUUCAGAUCCAAUAGAAGAAGAUGGCAGGUAGCUCAAUUGGAACUUAUUCCACUUUUUGAGUUUGCUUGCAAAUAUGUAUUUUUUUUUGUCAUCUUGCAAAAUAUUCGGCGUAGAAAUUAAAUUCAAAGAGUCAAAUACUUGAGUUUUCGUUGCAUGGUGAACUUUGCCCGGGGGGACACAAUGGAGGGAGGAAUGACAAUCAACAUAAAUAUUAAUUGUUCGACUUAGUGAACAAUCCAAUAAUUUGGCGAGCUGCAGAUCUAAACCACAAGACCAGUGAAGAAAGAAAAGUUAUUUCCUUUCAAUACCAUUGUGAACUGUAGGUAUUCAAACUAGCAGAUGAAAGGAACACUCUAUGCAAACAACGUUAUGCAAUCACAUCUGAUGACGGUUCCAACUUGCAAGUGACCAGAGAAUCACAAUAUCCACGAGAAGUUUUCCUCUCUAUAUUCGAUCAGAUCCAGUUGUAGAACCAAUAUUGUGACCCAAUUGUGUACUUGAUUAUGUUCCUGACGACAAUACUCAAUGUUUGAUCUAACCAUUUUUACUUGCAUGGCCUGCACCCAGCAAAGCAUACUGCUUUCCCACUAAUAUAGUUGUAAAAGUCAGUGAUGCAGGGUUUGAACGAUUUGUUAUCCAGGCCAAUAAUAUGCAGCGUCCUUUCCUAGCUGGCUAUACAAUUAAACUGCUGUGUAAAAACUACAGUGAUGGCACCUAUGGACCAACAGCGUGGAGCACCAGCACAUUUCCUAUGCACUUUUAGACGGCAGUCUCAUCAAGCGAGUGAGUUUCCUUCCAUCAAGUUCUAAGCGAUCAAAUAAGGUCCUUGCUCUCGAGCCAAUGCCAAUACCAAUUGAGAGGGUCUAAACGCUUUUAGGAAAGAAGCCUACAAUUUGAUUCUCGUCUCGUUUCACUUGCAUUUUCUUUCGUUCAGUCUCGUUCUGAGAGUGGAAUCGAACCACUCACUCCGUUUGGAUUUCGAGUCCUGUUUUGUGAAUGCCAG